UUUCCGGUUUCCUGCCACCUAGCUUUUGGACGUCGAAAUCCCGACCCUAAACUUUUUUAUUGGAUCAUGCUUGUAAGUGUUUCCACUUAGAGGAAAAAGUUUGUGGAAAAUUGAAAUUUGAGGAAAUAUUAGGGAAAUUUAUCUUUGGAUGUGGAAGCACUGACUAAACAAAAUGGCGUCCGCUUAUUCGGAAAAUUAAAAAAAAAAAUUAAAAAAAAAAGUUAAAACCGACCUACCCUACCUAAGUUUUUAUAAGAAGAAACCGGAAACCCACAUAUUUUUUUUUUGGCCUUACUAUAUUGGUGCGCGAAACAUGGAACGAUUACGAAUUUUGGUCGCGUCGAGUGCAAUUAAGACAAUGGAUAAUGAGAUGAUAAACCUCAUUAAGCUUCAUUAUCUAUUCUUUGAAUUGCAUUCGACGCGACC